rnacentral:rRNA from 1 species
CAGAAACUCAAAGGAAUUGACGGGGGCCCGCACAAGCGGUGGAGUAUGUGGUUUAAUUCGAUGCAACGCGAAGAACCUUACCUGGUCUUGACAUCCCGGAGACCCUUAGGAAACUAGGGGGUGCUUCCAUCUGGAAGAAUCUGGAGACAGGUGCUGCAUGGCUGUCGUCAGCUCGUGUCGUGAGAUGUUGGGUUAAGUCCCGCAACGAGCGCAACCCUUGCCUUUAGUUGCCAGCAGUUCGGCUGGGCACUCUAAAGGGACUGCCGGUGUUAAACCGGAGGAAGGUGGGGAUGACGUCAAGUCCUCAUGGCCUUUAUGACCAGGGCUACACACGUACUACAAUGGCCGAUACAAAGGGCAGCGACACUGCGAGGUGAAGCCAAUCCCGUAAAAUCGGUCUCAGUCCGGAUUGGAGUCUGCAACUCGACUCCAUGAAGUUGGAAUCGCUAGUAAUCGUGGAUCAGCAUGCCACGGUGAAUACGUUCCCGGGCCUU